rnacentral:rRNA from 1 species
GACGAACGCUGGCGGCGUGCCUAAUACAUGCGAGUAGAACGCUGAAGGAGGAGCUUGCUUCUCUGGAUGAGUUGCGAACGGGUGAGUAACGCGUAGGUAACCUGCCUGGUAGCGGGGGAUAACUAUUGGAAACGAUAGCUAAUACCGCAUAAUAGUAGAUGUUGCAUGGCAUUUGCUUAAAAGGUGCAAUUGCAUCACUACCAGAUGGACCUGCGUUGUAUUAGCUAGUUGGUGAGGUAACGGCUCACCAAGGCAACGAUACAUAGCCGACCUGAGAGGGUGAUCGGCCACACUGGGACUGAGACACGGCCCAGACUCCUACGGGAGGCAGCAGUAGGGAAUCUUCGGCAAUGGACGGAAGUCUGACCGAGCAACGCCGCGUGAGUGAAGAAGGUUUUCGGAUCGUAAAGCUCUGUUGUAAGAGAAGAACGAGUGUGAGAGUGGAAAGUUCACACUGUGACGGUAUCUUACCAGAAAGGGACGGCUAACUACGUG